AUUGAACGCUGGCGGCAGGCCUAACACAUGCAAGUCGAGCGGAUGAAGGGAGCUUGCUCCUGGAUUCAGCGGCGGACGGGUGAGUAAUGCCUAGGAAUCUGCCUGGUAGUGGGGGAUAACGUCCGGAAACGGGCGCUAAUACCGCAUACGUCCUGAGGGAGAAAGUGGGGGAUCUUCGGACCUCACGCUAUCAGAUGAGCCUAGGUCGGAUUAGCUAGUUGGUGGGGUAAAGGCCUACCAAGGCGACGAUCCGUAACUGGUCUGAGAGGAUGAUCAGUCACACUGGAACUGAGACACGGUCCAGACUCCUACGGGAGGAAGCAGUGGGGAAUAUUGGACGAUGGGCGAAAGCCUGAUCCAGCCAUGCCGCGUGUGUGAAGAAGGUCUUCUGAUUGUAAAGCAAUUUAAGUUGGGAGGAAGGGCAGUAAGUUAAUACCUUGCUGUUUUGACGUUACCAACAGAAUAAGCACCGGCUAACUUCGUG
rnacentral:rRNA from 1 species